UACGUAGGGCGCAAGCGUUGUCCGGAAUUAUUGGGCGUAAAGAGCUCGUAGGCGGCUUGUCACGUCGGAUGUGAAAGCCCGAGGCUUAACCUCGGGUCUGCAUUCGAUACGGGCUAGCUAGAGUGUGGUAGGGGAGAUCGGAAUUCCUGGUGUAGCGGUGAAAUGCGCAGAUAUCAGGAGGAACACCGGUGGCGAAGGCGGGUCUCUGGGCCGAAAUUGACGCUGAGGAGCGAAAGCGUGGGGAGCAAACAGG
rnacentral:rRNA from 1 species